rnacentral:lncRNA from 1 species
GAGAAAAGUGAUAUUCUGAGGAACAUGGAAUUUGAGAAUCUUAACUCAAAGUAAAGCUGUUGUUGGCGUAUUCUCAAGUCAAGAAUUUUGAUAUUCUUCCUACUCAAAGGCCACGAAAAAUGGGUUCCCACUUUCCCUUUCAUUCUUUAUCCUGAUGCUACAUAGAGCUUAAGAUGCCCUUAUCAUGGUUUAUCAUUUAUUUGUCCUCUUAACCACUGCAUUAUUGUGAAAUUUUUGUUAUUCCUUGCGUUUUUCUUUGUUCUCCUCGACAUUUUUGUAAGCUAGAACUAGCCUAUUUUACCACAUUAAAACCAGGCAUAGUUUGCGAAUGCAC